CCUGACAAAGGGGUUUUCAGGCUACGCGUUAGUAAAAUCAAAAUGAAGGUAAAAAUGUUCUGUAAGUAGUUUUCGGAGCUGUUGAGCCCAUAUUGUCACAUGUCUGAAGUGUUUGAUGUUCUGAGCUGUCAUCCUUCCGGCUCGUCUCCUGAACUCAAACCACAAAGAAUCUAAUUAAAGCUGCCCGCGUAUCCUCUUCCUGCAUUCACCUAUCAGCUCACCCAUUAUCUGAUCUCCACGUGUGGGGAACACAGAACGUCAGAGACCAGCAGGCCUGCUCGAUUAGGACAAGAUUAGCAGGGCCGUACAGAAAGGAGACAAAACAGCGCCAAAUCUUUUUUUCCCGCUUGCAGCUUUUGAGUUUCCUGAGUACCUGGAGCAAGCACACUUGCUCCUUUUCACCACUAGGUGGCAG